GGUGAGUUAGCUCAGCAGGUUAGGGCACCGUGCUGGUAAUGCUGAGGUUGUUGGUUCAAACCCCACAUGGGUCA
rnacentral:tRNA from 1 species